rnacentral:rRNA from 1 species
CCCGGUGACUCUAACGGCGGGGCUACACCCGUUCCCGUUCCGAACACGGAUGUUAAGCCCGUUCGUGCCGAUGGUACUGGGGACAUGUAAUCAAUUUCUCUUGAAAUUGGUACGUGUCCCCGAUU